UGGGUCUUGGAAGUAUUCGUGCAGAGAUA
rnacentral:piRNA from 1 species